AAUAGGGCAUGUGCUGGAAGGAUAUUUGAAACAGGGCAGGUGCUGAAAAAAUAUUUUAAAUAGGGCAUGUGCUGGAAGGAUGUUUGAAGUAGAGCAGGUACUGAAAAAUGUUUUGUUUGAAAUGGGAUAGGGCAUGUGCCUGAAGCACGUGACUUGUCUUGACAUGAUUUACUUCUGGUUUUCCCUCAUUCUCUUCUUUCUUCUUCUUCUUCAAGACCCAAACCCGUGGGUAUUGUGCAUUAGUACAUAAGUCAUAUUUUGGAAGCUCGGAUCAGAAAACUUCUUUGACGAAAGUUGCUCAUCUGCUCGAGUACUAUAGCCUGUAAAAUUUUCUGAAUUCUUUGAAUUUUUCUGAUGCCUCAAAGCUGGUCUGCAACUUCUGUGUUCAUCCAUGGCUGGUGUAUACGUCUCUGGCACAGGCAGGGGAGGGUGCCGAAAGCCUGCGUUGUAUCCAUUGUCGCUGGAAGCUUCGAGUUUACCAAUUUCGCAACUUGGCAAUUUGGAUUUCUAUCUCGAUUUCUCAGCUGCAUUUCUUUGUUGUAGGGGCUGGCUGGCUCAGUGUGUAGUAGCUUUUCCUUUUGAAACUGCAGGGUGUAUCGAUCUUUAGCAUAGUUGACUGCAUUUGGGCCCGAGUUGUACCCCCCCCCCCCCUUUUUUUUUGAGAGCCUAAAGCUCAUGUUGUCGGGAACUUGGAACACAACAUUGUUGCAUACUUUCUAUCAGAACUUUUGAUGUAGAAUGCUUGAGAUAUUGAGCUUCGGCCUGUUUUGUACGCUUUGCUCGGUUGGAAACAAUGAAAUGCAUGAAUUGUUGCAAUUUGGAAUGCAUUGAGAUAAAGAUUUCCAGCUUGUUCUGUACACUCUGCCUGGCUGAAAUGCAUGAGUUGCUUGAGAUUUCAACAGGUCAGGUUGUGGUAGGUGCAAGGUACAUGCUGCCAAUUUUUCUUUUUUUCAGGUUGAGAGCAUCUCACAAGUCGCGGAGGAUACACUUCCUACUCCUCCUCUUGGGACGUCCAGCGUAGCUGCUGACACUGCCCUGCGUCUUCCAGCAGCGCAACCUCCUGCUCAUCCUUUCCUAAGCACAUCUGACACAACUGCUGGCACCUCUCCACAGCUUCCAGCAGUGCUGCCUCCUACUCCUCUUUUCCUAAGCACAUCCGACAUAACUUCCGGCACCUCUCCACAGCUUCCAGCAGUGCUGCCUCGUGGUGAGAUUAUUGAUGACAGCCAUAAGGAGGAUGAUGUUUCCAUUUCCAUGGGGCAUUUAUCGGAGGAAAGCAUGUCUUGGCAAGAUUGGGAGAAUUCCUUCAUGGCGUUCAAAGCCUUUUUUGAUGGUGGUGCUAAGAUAUGUGAGGCCAUAACUCUGGGCUUUCAUGUGGACUUCCCCAUCAAUCUCGUGAGGAACCUAGCAUGUGCUGUCUUUGGAGUGCGGGCCAUUCAUAGCAUGAAAUUAUCACAUGGUUCUAGUGAGGUGAAAGCUGAUGCCGACACUUUGAACAUUAAGCAACAGGAAUUGGAUAGCCAGCGCAGGGAAGUGCAUGCCUUUUCCCUUGCUAAGUGCGUGACGGAGACAACAACCAGAUCAUCUCCUAGGGCUUCUUUCGUUCUUUUUGGGCAUUCUUCAUAGCUUUAAGGUAUAUAAUUCCUCUUUUUUUUAUUUUUUUUAUUUUAUCGGGCUACUCCUUCCAGCAUCACUUGAUCUUGACACACGUCUUCUUCUUGCAGGUUGUCUCCUCUUGGCUUGGUGACUGAUUAUCUUGGCGCGUGGUUCUGUUCCCUUGAAGACCAUAGGCUGCAUGGGUCUUUAGCAUGUGUAGUUUUAUCUUGCUUUGACUGUAGUUUUUUUUUUUCGUUUUCUUUUGGACACUCUAACGACCCUGUCGUUAUGAAUUCGUAAUGCAGUGUUGAAUCACUGGAGCUUGUAUUAACUUCCGAAUGCUUGAGGCAUGUUGUAAUUUGCAUGUCUUAUAUAUAAAUAUUGCUUGGUUGGCAAAAUUUAUUUUUAUGA